rnacentral:pre_miRNA from 1 species
UCUUCAUUUUGCACACUCUCUCGCCUUUCUGACCGGAGAGAGAGUGUGAGGAAUGAAGAGA